GUAUAUGGCCAGACCACCCUAAGCCUGUCAAAUCUUAUCGUUUUCAGAAGCUAAGCAGGAUUGGGCCUUGUGAGCACUCAGGUGGAAGACAUCCUGGAAAUUCCAGGUGCUGUACGCU
rnacentral:rRNA from 1 species